rnacentral:rRNA from 1 species
GACGAACGCUGGCGGCGCGCUUAACACAUGCAAGUCGAACGGAAAGGCCUGCUUUCCCUUGUGGAUUGCGGGUACUCGAGUGGCGAACGGGUGAGUAACACGUGAGUGAUCUGCCCCCAACUUGGGUAUAAGCCUGGGAAACUGGGUCUAAUUCCCGAUAGGACUGCAGGGUGGUGCCUGUGGUGGAAAACGAUUUUCUAGUGGUUGGGGAUGAGCUCGCGGCCUAUCAGCUUGGUGGUGGGGUAAUGGCCUACCAAGGCGGCGACGGGUAGCCGGCCUGGGAGGGUGGACGGCCGCAUUGGGACUGGGAUACGGCCCAGACUCCUACGGGAGGCAGCAGUGGGGAAUAUUGCACAAUGGGCGGAAGCCUGAUGCAGCGACGCCGCGUGGGGGAUGACGGCCUUCGGGUUGUAAACUCCUUUCGACCGCGAGGAAGCCACCUGGUUGGAAGGGUGGUGACGGUAGUGGUAGAAGAAGCACCGGCUAACUACGUG